GCUGCAAACUCAUGACUCUAAAAGAGACCCCUUUCUUCCACUUGAGAAAAGGAAAAAGUAGGAAGGGCUUUCACUAACAUCUUACAUACCAGCCCAGACACAGCAGAGUAGGAUACUAGUCAUAGUUGAGGCCCGCAUUCCAGGACCUAGCAUCUAAAUGACAUUUGUAGACACGCCCUGAGACAGAAGGGAGCCCACCUGCCUUGAAGAAAACAGGCCCGUUCUGGCAGCGUUUAUAUCCUGCUGACUGAAGAGCCUAUGGGCACUGAAUAUAACCAUCCCCACCUACUCCUGCAGACCCCAACACUCUGCCCAGCCUCUAGUAACCAUACUUGUACUCUCUUUGUCCAUGACUUCAAUGUUUUCAUUUUUAGAUCUCACAAAAUCAUGUAUCUUGAAAGCAUCUUAAUAAUAAUAAAAUUCAACACCUUCAUAUCAAAGCCAGGACUCAAGUCUUGUAAUGCUCAUGUCAGUGGUAAGUACUUGGGACCCUACUUUUUCUCUAGACCAGGUCCUUAUGGACCUGAUCUAUUACUAUAAAAAAAUUGUUGAAUGAAGUUCUUUCUAGCAACUUAGUUUGUUUAUAAUUCACUUUUUAUCUUCUUGUCUCCAUCAAAGAAAUAUAUAGACAUGUCAUGUUACAUAUCAGUGAUAUAUUUUAUUGAAAGGUUUUAUGGAAAUCCAGGUUAGCCAGGAGUGUUAUUUAAUUACACAGAUCUGGUCAGAGUAGUAAUUUCACAUAUUGUUAUAAUCACUGUCACUUGAUUUUUGCAUUGUAGAUCACAAAGUCCUUGAAAGCAGGCAUAGUGUAGUAUUUGCGUUUGGUCUGACUCAAGCAUCUCAAUGGAAAUAUUUUAAACAUCUUAUUUAAUAUUUGUGCAAUAGUUUGUUUAUACAAUGAAAAUAAUUAUUGUUUAUAGAAAUCAUUUAGCACAGUGCUAUUCAAGUAAUACAAACUCAGUACAUACUAAUUACAUAUAAAAGGUGAUAGGCGAAUAUUUGGUGAAUGAAUAGAUGAAUGUUUGAAUGACAGAAAGCAAUGUAACCUGGAUUUAUAGUUUGCUCUAGAGGAACCUAACAAAACUGAAUAGAAAAAAAAAAACACACAAAAUUAUCCAAUAGCUCUUGUCUUACAUAUUUUUAAUAAAACCAUCUCUUCACAGUUAGUGACAACAUGAUCAGCAGUUAUAAAACAUAGGAGGACAUUGAUCAUUUAAUACACCAUCUUAGUUACCACUUGCAUUAUAUUAGAUCAUUGUUCUAAAUUAUUGAUUCCUUCCCCAUCCCAUCUCCGUAGACAGAGUAUAGCUUUCCAUCUCUUGAGUUUAGGCUUAGCCAAUUACUUUCUUUCACACCUGAUAUAUUUGUUACAUUUAUAACUAUAAAGGAUCCCCAAAGGUAAAUCACAGUCAGGUGAUCUCUCCCUUCUAUAAAGAGAAUGGACUAAAAAUGAGUAUUAAAAAUACCAGUGUGACAAAAUCAUUAAUCAAAAAU
rnacentral:lncRNA from 1 species